AAUCAACGCUGGCGGCGUGCCUAACACAUGCAAGUCGAACGAGAAAGUGGAGCAAUCCAUGAGUAAAGUGGCGACCGGGUGAGUAACACGUGACUAACCUACCUUCGAGUGGGGGAUAACCUCGGGAAACCGGGGCUAAUACCGCAUAACAUCUUUGGAGUGGAAAUUUCGGAGAUCAAAGGAGCAAUUCGCUGGAAGAGGGGGUCGCGGCUGAUUAGCUAGUUGGCGGGGUAACGGCCCACCAAGGCUAGAUCGGUAGCCGGCCUGAGAGGGCGCACGGCCACACUGGAACUGAAACACGGUCCAGACUCCUACGGGAGGCAGCAGUGGGGAAUUUUGCGCAACGGGGGAAACCCUGACGCAGCAACGCCGCGUGGAGGAUGAAGUCCCUUGGGACGUAAACUCCUUUCGACCCGGACGAUAAUGAC
rnacentral:rRNA from 1 species